UACGUAGGGGCCUAGCGUUGUCCGGAUUUAUUGGGCGUAAAGAGCUCGUAGGCGGCUUGGUAAGUCAGGUGUGAAAUCUCCACGCUCGACGUGGAGGGGCCACCCGAAACUGCCAUGGCUUGAGUCCGGUAGGGGAGUGUGGAAUUCCCGGUGUAGCGGUGAAAUGCGCAGAUAUCGGGAGGAACACCCGUAGCGAAGGCGGCACUCUGGGCCGGUACUGACGCUGAGGUGCGAAAGCGUGGGGAGCAAACAGG
rnacentral:rRNA from 1 species